AAGAGUGAAGUGUGAAUUAGACUUUCUUUGACUAUCAAUCAACAACUUUUAACUUACACGAGUGCUACAUUGACUGGCUCAGUGUGUGACUACCCCAAGCUAGCAGGCAUGGGUAACCAACCCAUUCAACCCAAUUUGUGAUGGGGAUCAGGGAUUGCAAUUAUUCCCCAUGAAGGAGGAAUUCCCAGGAAGUGCAGGUCAUAAGCUUGUGUUGAUUAA
rnacentral:ncRNA from 1 species